AUUCCAGCUCCAAUAGCGUAUAUUAAAGUUGUUGUGGUUAAAAAGCUCGUAGUUGGAUUUCGGCGGGUAUUGGUUGGUUUGAAUUGCUUCAACACUGACUUUUUUACCCGUGUGUUUUGCCAGAAUUUAGCGGGUGAUCUUCGCCGAUUGUCCGUUGGAACUGGUAGGUUUACUUUGAAAAAAUUAGAGUGCUCAAAGCAAGCUUACUGCUUGAAUAGUUGCGCAUGGAAUAAUAGAAUAGGAAGUCGUUUCUAUUUUGUUGGUUUUCGGAAAUCGACUUAAUGAUUAAUAGGGAUAGUCAGGGGCACUCGUAUUCCGCCGAGAGAGGUGAAAUUCUCAGACCAGCGGAAGACGAACCACUGCGAAAGCAUUUGCCAGGGAUGUUCUCAUCG
rnacentral:rRNA from 1 species